AGAUGAGAAUUCCAUGGCUUCGGCCGAGAGACUCGCAGCUAGAUUACUGCGUUGAUAGGCUGGAUGUGGAAGUGGGGACUAAAGACCCAUGGAGCUGACCAGUACUAAUAAGUCGAUUACUUGAUAACA
rnacentral:rRNA from 1 species